CUAUGGGGCAGGCUGCCAUGCCCACAGAGCACAGGAUGAGACUGCAGCUGGGGGCAUGGCUGAGCCAGCGGGUGCACUCUCCACUCCUGGACGCUCAGCAGAAAGAGCCAUAGAUGAAUGGUUUUGCUCCACCCCAUGCUCCUACCAUCAUGUGCUGCCACAGAGCUAAAGUAAUAGUCAACAGACCAUGGACUGAAGUCUCUAAAACUGGUCUCCAUUUGCUCAGGGUUGGAUGGCAACGUGACCCACCUGCCUUGGGCUCUGCCCACACCUGCUGACAGAAGCCCCCUCUGCUCCGAGACAUGGCUGGGUCUGUCUGUGUCUCUAGACAGGGAUUGAACUCAGGACCUUGUGCUUUCGAGGCAGGCGCUGGAACCAUUCAGCUAAAUCCCUGGCCUCAACUGAAUUCUUUCAUCAAGGACAGAAAAAACCAACGGCCAAAGAGUAAGGGGUGGGUUCCCACUGCGUCAGGACCCAGCUUACUAGUGACAUUCUGACAGCUGAUGGCAGACCUCAGGCCUUUGGCAGCAGACCGUGUGUCCUUCCCGUGGCCUGGAGAACCCAGCAGGAGCUGGGCCACCUCAGUGACGGGUCAUGGUGGUGAGCAGUGUUCCUGGGGCUUGGUUGGCUAAAACUUCUGUCUGAAGGCAUCCCAUCUGUACACUUGGGCCACCAGUGUAGCUGAGUGGUGGAGCACUUGCCUAGCACGCAUGAGGCCCUGGGUUCAAUCCCCAGCACUGCCAAAAUAAAGGUGCAUAUGAUUCUUGA